rfam:Streptomyces griseus subsp. griseus NBRC 13350 DNA, complete genome.
CUUCACCGAGCCCAACCACAACGGACGCCCCUCCGCCCGGUCCUGGCCAUAGGUCGCCAACAGGGCAUGUGCCUC